rnacentral:lncRNA from 1 species
GGCCACACCCAUGACAUGGAGAAGUUACUGGGCCAGGGAUCAAACCUGUACCACAGCAGCGACAUGAGCCAGAGCAGUGACAGUGCGGGAUCCUUAACCCACUAAACCACCAGGAAUUCCUACGCUUUUCAUUUUCACUUCAUUUUUGUUCAAACAGAAAUUGGCAUUGUUUUCCUCAUGUAAAUAUAUAGACAUUGAGCUAUAAGACCAAAGUGUAGGCAUCUGAACAGUUUGAGGCACCAUACUAUCAAAGAAAAUGAUGGAAGUUUCCUUCAAGAUAUACUUAGGGUUUCUAGACAUAAAAUUUAAUGAAAAGAAGCCAUAAUCAGCCUUUUAGCAAAUUCUCUUAUAAAGAGGAGACAUCAAAUUUGCAUCAAACAAAGAAAUUAAAAGGCGGAGGAGGCAGUUGGGGUAAUUAGAAUUAUUAGUACAAGCAAAAUAGUAAAUGAUAAAUGGAUUUAAUGUUUGAGACUGUCUUACUCAAUUCUGUAGUCAGUUUGCUAUGAAAUCCAAAUAGAAAAAAUUGGGAAAAAUUGUUGAAAGAAAGCUAAGAAGGAAAUGCUUUAUUUGUAAAGAAAGUAAGAUCCUAUGAAGUAAUCAGAGAACUUUGGUUAGAAGCUUACUAACCUAGUGUUUUCUCCACUUAGACACUUUUUUUUUCAGGGGCUGGAUUCCAUUUUUUCCCCCCUACAAGAGAAGUAUCUAAUGAAGGCAAUGCCAAUGGCAGUGUAAAUAAUUUUCUUUCUACUUCGAGAUCAACAGGCUAGAAUCUGACCUCUAUAAUAGUUUAGGAGGGGGACCGUGGUUUUUAUCAAGGUUGCCGGAUUUUCUGUGAUCUUUGUAAAUAGUUAAUCAUGUUAAUUUUUGCAGUGGCCCAUAAAUUCUGCCCAGAGUAUAUGUCAUUUUCACUUUAGGGAUGCAGCUAGUGGAAUCUGUCCAUGAAAUGAUCCAAAAUGCAGUGUGAAAAUAUGGUCAUGCAGAACUAUGGCCACGGGCUUGAGGAUAGACUUUUCUUUAUUCUAGAACAGACAGCAUGAGGCAGUAGUUACAUUAAAUUUUAGAGCUAAAUUGAAGUUGAGGAUGCCCUCUUCACAACGGCCUUUCCCUGACCCCAUCACCUAUCACAGCUCCCAUACCUCCAAAUUUUAAAAAUAGCUCUGGCAAAGUAAUCUCCCAAGUCACAGUGUACAGCUAGAACACCUAAACUAAAACCAGAUCUAACCAUGUCCUUUUGUCUCCUUAGUUCACAGAGUCACUGUACCUCUCCAGGCCUUGGGCCUCUGGUAAAAUAAAGGAGUCUUGAGUCUCUCUAUGAUGCCUAUAAGACCAAAACCAUGGCUCUGUAAGUUCAACCUUAUGCAGUCAUUUCUCUAAGAGAUUCCUGGCAUCAAUAGGCAGGACUUCUUCCAAGAAGAGAAAUAAAACCUAAGCAAAUCAAAAGGCUAGACAUGAUGUACUCCGAUUAAAUGAACAAAAGCCACUUCUUAAACUUUUUGGACAGUAUUAAGGUCCAUACAACACAUGAAAGAGAAAUUAAAUGCAACUGUUGCAGCACAGCACAAGAACCUAAAAGGUCUUAGAAGAACUGCCGAGGACAGGAGGAGGAUUGGGUUACAAGGCAGAAUUAAAAAAGGGAAAAUUAGGAAGGAACUGAGGAUGUGCAUAUUUCAUGAUUUAAGGUUACUAUGCAAAUUGAACAUCAUCUUCCUGAUUAAUUCAGUAUUUAUUAGGUGUGUUUAUAAGAGACAUUUCUUCCAAUUAAGAGUAGGGAACAUUUUCUGGUGAUGCUCAAACUGAACCCUGAAGGCUGCCUGUAAUUUUGAUAAUUCAGAAAGGGGAGGGUUGAGGAAGCCAUUCCAGUAGAGAAAGUAUUGUGGGCAAAGGCUGAAAUAGGAAAGUACUCAGUGAAAAGUAAGGACUUUUAGGUGUCUAAACACCAAGCGUGUCUAGACUGGGUGAAGAAAAACAAGCAUUUCCUAGAUUCAGGUAAUCAAAACUUUCCUUGGUAGAAUAAACAGGUGUCUAUGAUAUGUGAAUAGGUGUGAUCCAACCUCAUGCAAACAGUGUUUUCACAGGACGGGCUAAAUAGCACACCAUGAAAAUAUUCUUCACCACAAUGAGGGAGUGAAGUAAGUCAACAUGAAGUGCAGCCAGCUGAGUGAAUAUUCAACUCAUUGCAUUUCUGAGUGGGUCAUUCUAAGACUGGAUCCUAUGGACUCACAUGCACCCUGGAAUAGUCGAUUAGGGGCAGUAGUCAUAGGAAGGACCAUUGGGGACAUUUAGCAUAGAAGAAUCUCUUCAAUCAAACAUGCCAAGCCUUUUAUAACACUGAAUUCCAUCUCUUUCCCCCAUUGUGUUGGGGGUGUAUAGACACAAUGCUGGUUGAGGGACAUUCACUUAUUCUAAUAGUCUCUUCUUUGGGAAUGAACAAACUAGCAAAAUUCUAUUCCAGAUUUAAGGGAUUACAGUUGCCAUUUAUAUUGUCCAGUAAGGCAUCCACUGUUGCCACUUCUAACCCAUCAAAUACUGUCCUAAGUCUAGGGAAACCUUCAGAGAGGCUUCCCAAAGGCCAUAGGAUGCAGUAGGGAGACCUACGUGCAGCUUCAAAUGGAACAACGAUGCGCAAACCCCAAAGCGAGUUGACUAAAAAUGCUGGUUCCAUUUGAGAUCCACGGGCUGAGGGUGGGGACAAAGGGACUCACCACAUUGCCUUGUACUGCCUUUGAUCUGGAAGUUCUCUCAUCUUUCCACUUGAUUGUAAGAUUCUGUGCAGAGGAGACCAUGUUAUAGCCCUUGCAGUGCCUGGUAUCUAGUCGAUGCUCAACAAAUAUUUAUAAACAUUGCAUUUAACGCUUUCGUUAAAUUCUUCAAUAAAAUGUCCCCCAAAUGUUUUGAAUUUAUGAAAGACAUACCUUAGGCAUCUGAGAUUCAGCUACAGUAAUUGUUCUCCUAUGGAGGAAUUACAGAAUUUGCUGAUGAAAAUAAAAGUCUCUAUACUUUUACUCAAAGUAAAGAGAUACUUAACUACUUGUAGGCUGCUAACACACCAUGUUAUUUUAAAGAAACUGGCACAAAUAAUACAAUUGGGCAACGGUGAUAGUUUCAAGAAAAAUCACAUGUAUUUUUCAAAAGUAGAAAAAGAUUGGAUGAUUCAUUUAACUUUUUUCUCAAUACUCAUUCCUAGACACAUUGAAACUUAUGCUAGCUUAAAGAACGAGACAUUUUAAAACUUUUUUUUUAAGGAGAAAAGAAAAUUAUGCCAGGUUUGAAAAAUCACACCUGUAGAAAUUUGACCCUUGGGUUUUGCGGGGGGUGGGGAGGAGGUGCAGAGGAGGCCUACACUGGCUCCAACACCAGACUAACAAAAGUAACAGGAUUUCAGUGCGUUCUUCAUAAACACUAUUGAAUUGCACAGUCUUCUACUCUGAGGUGCUGCGAACAAACACAAACAAAAUUAGGCAAAGAAAGAGGGUUUUGCAGCCCAGGAAAAUUUAGGGAGGUAUUGGUGCGGCUGCAGAGUCUGCCUCACAUUCAGGCCGGCUUCCUAGCUUGCUUGGCACUCAGUGGGUUGUUACAAAGUGUGAGCUGACUGUUGCCCAAAACCAAACAGGGGAAACACUACCAGAUGAAGUAAUGCUUCUAAAGUUGGAGCCAGUGAAUUAUUUUCCUUGUCUGUUUUUCUCUCCUUACUUCCCAUAGAACUGCUCUCAGGGAAAAUGAUGAUAAUCACACAGUUAAAAGUCCAAGGGCUUCAAUAUUCCUAGGUUUUCAUUUAUUCUUUUUUAUUUUUGUCAUACCUGUGGCAUGUGGAAGUUCCCGAGCCAGGGAAUCACCACAGCAGUGACCCUGGGUUGAUACAGUGACAAUGCCAGACCCUUAACCCACUGCACCACCUGGGAACUCCUUCAUUUAUUCUUUUUAAUAAAAACUUGGAGUGAACUUUCACCAUCCAUUUAUCAGAAAUCCUUGCAUUCUCCAAAGUAAAAGUCAUACAGUUUAUACCCUUACAGGCAGUGUUUCCAAGCCAUUUUCUUGCAGAUGGUGUCAAAGGUGAGGAAGAUUGGAACCUCCCAUAAAAAUCAGCUGGGAGGUUCAGAGAUAGUCCUCAAUAUGUAAAAUUCAACAUUUUGAAAACAGAACAGUUCUAUUAAGGCAUUGCCACGCUCACCCUUGUGCAUAAGCUUUGUUUGAUGUUGUCAGAGACAUCAUGCUUUGAGCUUUGGUUAAAGCAACUAAUCAGGUUCCUUGAUCAUCCAAGGAAGUUCCUCCCACUUGGAAGCUGGAACCAUCAGCUGAUACUCAGGGGUCUCCAAACAGAACUCUAAGGGGGCCUCUUAUCCUUGUGUCAGCGGGAUACAAGCAGCCAUCCACUGCCUUUGGAACAUCAUGGGGAAUUGGAGGAAUGGAUCUAUAGCAGCAACAGCAGCAAUGAAGAGAGGUCGGUUUUGCAUACUGGAAAGAGAAACACCCUCAGCAGAUUCAGAACACAACUAGAAGAUGUGACUGCAUCUGCCUUAGUUCUGAACAGUGGGGUGUUCAAAAAUACUCCUCUGAAUACUUUAGAUCAAAUGAAGCUGAAAGGAUGCCUAGGAGAGUGGACACCCAGGAUCGCCUAUAAUAUUAACCAACAUGCUUUCUAUGCUGCACAUUUAUUUUUCCACAGCCCACAUCCUAUUUUCUUGCUAUAAUGGAUAUUUGGUGGGGGAGGGGGGGUGUCUUGCUGAGUGAAGGGGAAAUACAUUCUGGACCAAGUCAGGAUGCUUUUCUUUUCUUUUCUUUUCUUUCUUUUCUUUUUUCCUUUUUAGAGCCACACCUGUGGCAUAUGGAAGUUCCCAGGCUAGGGGAUGAAUCUGAGCUAUAGCUGUUGGCCUAUACCACAGCCACAGCAACACAGGAUCUGAGCCGCAUCUGCACCACAGCUUGGGGCAACGCUGGAUCCUUAACCCACUGAGCAGGGCUAGGGAUUGAACCCACGUCCUCAAGGAUACUCGUUGGGUUCGUUUCCACUGACCACAAUGGGAACUCCCAGGAUGCUUUUCUAAAUGAAAGGUGUAUUGCUAAGGAAAAAAGUUCAUGCAAAUGAUCUUGAAUCUGAAGAUUUCCCCUCAAUUCUCGGAUGAUCAGAUAACUACAACCAUAAGAGAGGGCACAUCACCAACCCAGUGUUUGAAAAUUUUAUUAAGACUCAGAAAGAUUUAGCAUUUCUAUGAGAGGAACGUUAGGGAAACGCAACCCUACUUUUCUUGAUACUACUUAAAGGACCCAUCUUCUUAACUUAUUAGAGUGCAUUAUUUGCAUAACUUUUUACUGACCAUGUAUUUCAGUUAAUCUGCUAUUUGGUCAGUGCGUCAGGAAUUAGUCAAACAUGUUGGCUGAUUGACUUUACCAAAAACUUAGAGCAAUAGUCCUAUGCCAACAUGGCUUUUUAUCUGCUUAUUUUGUAGUGCCUUUUGUUAAGAGUAUAUUCAUCAGAGUAGACUUUUUUUUUUUUUUUUUUUUUUUUUUUUUUNNNNNNNNNNNNNNNNNNNNNNNNNNNNNNNNNNNNNNNNNNNNNNNNNNNNNNNNNNNNNNNNNNNNNNNNNNNNNNNNNNNNNNNNNNNNNNNNNNNNNNNNNNNNNNNNACCACAGCUCACCGCAAUGCCGGAUCGUAAACCCACUGAGCAAGGGCAGGGAUCGAACCUGCAACCUCAUGGUUCCUAGUCAGAUUCGUUAACCACUGUGCCACACGGGACCUCCAGAGUAGACAUUCUUGAUCUGUGUGCCAAAGAGGGGCAGAAAUUUAUUGGGGAGAGCCUUAAAAGCCAAUGGAAAUACAAUUUGACAAACACAGUAUAUUUUCCAAAGCUUUAAGUUGUGGUGGAGAUAUUAAUUUUAUAAUUAAAAGUAAAAUGUUUUUCUAGCUUCCUUCAUCAAUCAUUUCGCCAAAGUCAGAUACUUUUCACCUAAUAUUUAAAUAUAUAAAACUAAUUUCUUCAAAGGUUUCCUCCCUUUGAAUAUUUCCUCUCUUUAGCUCACUAAGAUAUUCCGUCCUACUUUUAAAAAGUAAUUAUAUUACUGAUA